UCAGUACAUUGGUUGCCUCUCGCUGCACAUCUUCCUUCCUCUCCCGUGGGCGGCUGCGAGCGGGGCUGGGCCUGGCGCUGCUCCCCUAACGGGAUCAGAGCCUUAAUUCUCACCCGCCAGCUCGGCUGCCUCUCCGGCUGUACUGUGAGAUACGAGCCAUCGGUUCAGUGCAGCUGAUUGUGUGCCUGACAGCAGCGGCGGCGGCAGCGAUCCUAGGCUCACCGCACUGAAUCCUGGGAGACGAGAGCCAGGUCUGGAGGUUAGAGCAGACUGGGGGCCUGAGGCUGAGACACAAUGGCUUAAAGUCCAAGGCUGUUCACUGAAUUCACGACUGAUGUAAAGAUGGAGCUACAAUUUCUCCAGUCGACAUUCUCCAGUCUAGAUUUCUCCCUGACAAACGAGGAGAGGGUCUUUUUGGUGGCUGCACCCCGUUUAUGGGGCAGCCUCCCCAGUGAGGUUCGCCUGGCUUCAUUACUUUGUUCUUUUAGAUGCCAGGUAAAGACCUUUUUGUUCACUCAGGCCUUUUAAAUUUUAAAUUUAAAUUUUUAAAAAUUGUGAUCUGAUUGUAACUGAUUUCUUUAAAAAAUUAAUUGUAUUUUUAAUUGUAUCCCCCCCCCUCUUUUUUUGGUCUGUUAUGAUUUAAUGUGUGUUUUUAUAUCAUGUUUUAAUAUGAUGUAAGCUGCCCAGAAAACAAUUUGUUAUGGGGCGGCUAAUAAAUAAAGUUGUUUACGAUUGA